rnacentral:lncRNA from 1 species
GGGGACCAGAGGGGAGCCCCAUCUGGAGGCGCGGAGAGCCUCCGCAGGAGUCCAUGAAACACUGAGCGAAGGGGCGCCCCAGGGAGGGCACGACCCAAGACCCCUCCCUCCCGAAGACGUCUCACGGGGAGCCUCUACACUGCUCCUCGCUUCCCCAGCUCUGAUCGUAGCCAUGGCAACGCAUGAGGAGGCUGGAUGCCGGACAGGGCGGCGGAGGGCUCCCCAAACACACCCAACUACAGGAGCAUUCGCGCUGAGGACGAAGCCCGAACGCCAACGCCAACGGGAUGUCCUGGGCGCUCAGCUGCCAUCAGCUGUGCUUCCUCAGGCCACCGGCCACGGCUCUAGGAGGCAGACCCCACCAUCACCCCCAUUCUGCAAAGAACGGAGCCGAGAAAGAGAGAGAAACGGCUGCCCACGGCCGGGAAGAGCAGGAAUUGGAACCAGGGUUUGGGUCCAGAGGAGGAGCUCUCACCACAGCGCUGCUGGAGGCCUGGGGCCCCCGGAACUGAGGAUAUAUCAUGAAUAAUUUCAAGCCCCUUGGGUUUAUCUAGGUACAGGGCCAUCCUGAAGACAGACGCCCCACUCUCUAGAAGCCAUUACUCAGUGGGGCAAAGGACGUGGGCUUUGAUGGGAGACACACAGGCGGCUGUGAGAGCCCAGCAGAAACAAUUCCGCUCCCACGGCUCCCGUCCAUGCCCUCCCACUGCUACCUCAGUGGCUGGCUCCCAUCUCCUUCAAACAUCGAAUAAAUGCCUCCCUCACUGGGGGAUACCACAC